rnacentral:misc_RNA from 1 species
GUUGUAGUAGCAAAACUUGGUGUUUGUGGAAUCACAUCUUGGGCACUUGAGAGCCUGUUCUGGUUGAGGUCUUGGUUUCCUCUCUUGAUGGGGUUUUGAGCAAACCAUCAUGUUUUCAAGUGAAUGUGAAGGCAUUUCCUUGUGUUGUCCACUUGAAGGAUCCAUCCAUGCAAAAACCCAAUCAACCUACUUUCUGAAAACUCAAAGAAAUGGAUACACGUCUACUGAAGAGAAGGAUGGAGAGAGAGAGAGAGAGA